AUUAUUCCCUCUAUGGGUUUGAAAAAAAAAAGUUUUAUCUUUAUCACUCUUUUCAUAUAUUCCUCACUGUAAAGUUGAAAGAAGUGUCUUCCUAUUUAUGGAAUAGCAAAUUAUAUUUCUUCUUCGUAGAAUUUAAAAUGGUAUUUGCCACUAUUUUUUCCCCCUUCAAAAGAUUAAGCUUACUAAAUUGAAUAAUCCUUUUUUUUUAAACCAGUGCUUCUUGAAAAUGGACUAUAUGCCAGGACAAUCUCCAUCAUUAUUUCAUUUGAUACUUAUUAACUCAACAAGGAAACUGAGGCUCUGAGAGUCUGGCCAAAGUCACCCAACUAAUGACUACAGCUGCAUUCUAGAAGAAGACAGAUACAAAUCAGAUUAAAACAAAAGUAAAACACCAUCAAAGAAACAGGAGAAUAUGAGCUUGCUUGAUAAAGUGUGACGAUGCCAUAGAGUGACUGAGGUACCAUAGUAGGCUGGAAGGCCUCUUUGAGGAGGCGACACUGAUACCAAGCCAGGGAUGAUAAGAAGUAGCCAGGUUUUGUAAUUCUGGGAAUGAGCUUUCCAAGCAGAAAGAACAGCUAGUACAAAGGCUGAGUUUGAGAAGUGAUCACUCUCAAUUUGGAAGGAAGACAGGCUGUGUGACACUAGAAGAUUCAUCCAGUAUCACUCUUAUGUCCUUGACACAGCUGAUACUAGACAUCUACUGUCCUGGCUUCACUUGCAGAUAAACAGAUAAGUUGUGUCUUUGCAACAACCCAAGGAUUGUCACUUGUUUUAAGGGACUGGCCUCACUGUCGGGAAGAAGGAAGAACUCUUCUGGAUUUGGCUGUUCUUUAGCUAAGGAAGGCUACGGAGAAGAAACAUCCAGAAAAGAAAAACCAAAAUGCAUUCCCACACUGACCUUUGGAUGUGAGGAGCAAUGUCAUUUGCAAAGAUGAAGGAGAAUCUGGAUUUGUACAUUUUGAAGACAGCAGAAUCAGAAUUUGACCCCAUGUUAUUUGACUCCGAAGACUGUUACAUACUCUGAAUUUCUCUUCAGUCUACUCAUCAGCAGCGCGUGGAGAGAGGCCUCCAUGGGCCCCAUGCUACUGCCUCUCUUCC
rnacentral:lncRNA from 1 species